rnacentral:tRNA from 1 species
GCGGCCGUGGUCUAGCCUGGUUUAGGACGCAGGCCCCCCAAGCCUGUAAUCCCGGGUUCAAAUCCCGGCGGCCGCACCA